rnacentral:rRNA from 1 species
UAGGGAAUCUUCCGCAAUGGGCGAAAGCCUGACGGAGCAACGCCGCGUGAGUGAUGAAGGUCUUCGGAUCGUAAAACUCUGUUAUUAGGGAAGAACAAAUGUGUAAGUAACUAUGCACGUCUUGACGGUACCUAAUCAGAAAGCCACGGCUAACUACGUGCCAGCAGCCGCGGUAAUACGUAGGUGGCAAGCGUUAUCCGGAAUUAUUGGGCGUAAAGCGCGCGUAGGCGGUUUUUUAAGUCUGAUGUGAAAGCCCACGGCUCAACCGUGGAGGGUCGUUGGGAACUGGAAAACUUGAGUGCAGAAGGGGAAAGUGGAAUUCCAUGUGUAGCGGUGAAAUGCGCAGAGAUAUGGAGGAACACCAGUGGCGAGGGCGACUUUCUGGUCUGUAACUGACGCUGAUGUGCGAAAGCGUGGGGAUCAAACAGG